rnacentral:lncRNA from 1 species
CUUGUAGGAUCUUUCAGAUCUAAUGAGAUCUGGAGCGGCAUAUUUUAAAAAAAAAUUAUCUUACUUUAUUUUAGAUCUAAAGUCUAUUAGAUCUGAUUCUUAUUAUCUUAUAUUUAAUCUAAAAUUUAAUCUAAAAUCAUGAGAAAUAGAGAAAUACUUUUAGGGUAACUAGAUUACCCUGUAGAUGAUCGCAGCAAUACCCG